AGAGUUUGAUCCUGGCUCAGAACGAACGCUGGCGGGCAGGCCUAACACAUGCAAGUCGAGCGAGACCUUCGGGUCUAGCGGCGGACGGGGUUAGUAACGCGUGGGAACGUACCCUUUUCUAAGGAAUAGCCACUGGAAACGGUGAGUAAUGCCUUAUACGCCCUUCGGGGGAAAGAUUUAUCGGAGAAGGAUCGGCCCGCGUUAGAUUAGAUAGUUGGUGGGGUAAUGGCCUACCAAGUCUACGAUCUAUAGCUGGUUUGAGAGGAUGAUCAGCAACACUGGGACUGAGACACGGCCCAGACUCCUACGGGAGGCAGCAGUGGGGAAUCUUAGACAAUGGGCGCAAGCCUGAUCUAGCCAUGCCGCGUGAGUGAUGAAGGCCUUAGGGUCGUAAAGCUCUUUCGCCUGUGAAGAUAAUGACUGUAGCAGGUAAAGAAACCCCGGCUAACUCCGUGCCAGCAGCCGCGGUAAUACGGAGGGGGUUAGCGUUGUUCGGAAUUACUGGGCGUAAAGCGCGCGUAGGCGGACAUUUAAGUCAGAGGUGAAAUCCCAGGGCUCAACCCUGGAACUGCCUUUGAUACUGGGUGUCUUGAGUUCGAGAGAGGUGAGUGGAAUUCCGAGUGUAGAGGUGAAAUUCGUAGAUAUUCGGAGGAACACCAGUGGCGAAGGCGGCUCACUGGCUCGAUACUGACGCUGAGGUGCGAAAGUGUGGGGAGCAAACAGGAUUAGAUACCCUGGUAGUCCACACCGUAAACGAUGAAUGCCAGUCGUCGGGCAGUAUACUGUUCGGUGACACACCUAACGGAUUAAGCAUUCCGCCUGGGGAGUACGGUCGCAAGAUUAAAACUCAAAGGAAUUGACGGG
rnacentral:rRNA from 1 species